CAAAGGAUGAGCUUUAGCUAAGGUGAUACCAAACUUCUCCUCCAUGUCUAAAUCUUUUGGUUCAAUGUCUGCCUCAAGCUUCCAAUUGAAGGAAUUUAAGAGUGAGCCCAAUAUUACUGGAACCGUUCUCAAUGCUAGUGGUAAGCCAGGACAUAUUCUUCGACCAGCACUAAAUGGAAUCAAAUCAAAAUCUUGUCCUCGCACGUCCUUAUCCGAACUCCAAAACCUAUCUGGUUUAAAUGCUAAAGGGUCCUCCCAAAAAGUAAGAUCUCGACCAAUUGCCCAAACAUUUACUAGAAUCUGUGAGUAAAAGCAUCAAUAAGCGAGUAAGAUUAUAUUUGGAUGAAUCAAAAGGGCUAAAUCAAUAAAUAGGCCGGCUGAGCGAAUUGAACAAAUCAUAUUUUUAUCAUCCAUACCUGUGAAUCCUUCGGGAUGAUGUAAUCACACAAUUCAACAUCUUGUUCCACUCUGCGCGGAAUUAAGAACGGAAGUGGUGGAUGCAUUCUUAAGGUUUCUUUGAUGAUGCAUUGCAAGGAAGGGAGUCGAGAAACAUCAGCUUCUUCAAUUGAUUUUCCUUUACUAAUGAUUUCUGCAAGUUCAGCUUGAGCUUUCUUCAUUAUCUCAGGUUGUUCAAGUAUUUCUGUCAUUGCCCACUGCAAUGUGCUUGUAGUUGUAUCUGUAGCCCCCGUAAUUAAGUGCUACAUAAUUUAUAUGCAAAUUAUAUAACCAUAAAUUUGAGUAAUAAAAAACCCUAUAAAUUACAGUAGUUAAAAGAAACUAUAAUAUAUCUGUUCACAAAUCACCAUAACAAAGAAUCUAACAUACUAAUUGCACAAUAAUUAAAUCAUCUUGAACAAAAUACACCAUGUUCAACAUGGUAAAGGGAAAAAACAAGAAUCUAUUAAUACUAUAAAAUAGAUGUCUGCAUAUACCUUGGAUGAUUAUAUACAAGAAAAGGAUAGUUCGGUGCACUAGAGCUCCCGCUAUACGCAGGGUCCAGGGAAUGGCCCACCACAAAGGUGUAUUGUACAUAGCCUUACCUUGCAUUUCUGCUAGAGGCUGUUUCCAAAGCUUGAACCCGUGACCUCCUGAUCACGUGACAACAAUUUUACUAGUUACUCCAAGGCUUCCCUUUGUUGGAGUCCCACAUCGGUGGGUUAAAGGGUCCUUGGUCUCCUUAUAAGGCUUGGGCAAUCCACCUUCUCAUGAGCUAGCUUUUGGGGUGUGAGUUAGGCCCAAGACCAAUUUGCAAUUAUUCUAUCUUGGAUUAUGAACUCUGUUAGUGUUGAAUUAUUUUGUGGUAUGGUAUAUGCCUCGAGUGCUCAUAAAGUUUGGGUAUUUUUCUAUGUUGGCUUAUGAACUCUGUUAGUGCUGAACUGUUGUGUGGUAUGGUAUAUGCCUUGAGUGCUCAUAAAGUUUGGGUAGAUCUACAGAAGAGAUUUGAUAAAGUGAAUGGCUCUCGAGUUCUGUUUCUACAUAAAGAAAUUGUCACUUUAACUCGAGGCAUGCCUCGAGUGCUCAUAAGUUUGGGUAGAUAUAGAGGAGUGAUUUGAUAAAGUGAAUGGCUCUCGGAUUCUUUUUCAGUAUAAAGAAAUUGCUACUUUAACUUGAGGCAUUUCUUCGGUCUCUGCCUAUUUCUCCAAAUUGAAAGAGUUUUGGGCAGAAUUUGAUGCUCUUAUGCCAUGUCCUGGUUGUAAUUGUGCUGAGUCCAGGAAAUAUGUUGAACAUUUCGAUGACCAACGGUUAUUGCAGUUUUUAAUGGGAUUAAAUGAGUCUUAUUCUCAAUCAAGAAAUCAGAUCUUAAACAUGUCUCCUAUUCCAUCUAUUAACAAAGAUAACUCUACGAUUAUCUCUGAAGAGAGUAGAAGGAACGUGACUUAGUAUCAUGUGUUUGAUCUAAGUGAGGGUACAACUAUGCUAUCUAGUGUGAAAGGCAAGGAUGUACUUGUUCCUACCUAUGGUUUUACUCAGAAUGCAGCUUUACUCACUAACAGUAAAGGCAAAAGUGUGCAUAUGCCUGGCCAUGGCUUUAAUGAUGCCUCUGGCUUAAGUAACAGGAGUAACAACUCUCAGCAAAUUAGUGGUUAUAGUGGAGGCACUAGAGCCACAAGCUAUGGUUCUAAUUACAGACUUAAGAAGAAUCAUCUAUAUUGUGAUUUUUGUCACUUUAAAAGUCACACCAGAGAUCAUUGUUAUAAAUUGCAUGGAUAUCCCAAUGACUACAAAUAGAAGAAGAGGUUUGGUGCUAACAAUAUGUCUAGUAAUGCAGCUUGCUACUCACCUGGUGCUUCUAGUAGUGCAGGUACAAACCAAGCAAGUACUUACCCUGAAGGUACUUCUUAAAUGCACCCUGGUCCUAGUGCUAAUGGGCUCAUCUCCAGCAUUCCCCAAUUCACUCAAGACCAGUACAAUUAACUUCUUCAAUUGCUUUGAAAAGAAGCAGAUACUACCGAUUCCCCUGUGACAGCAGGUAUGACAACUUCUGCCGUAGCUGGUGGUGUGUUCAAUACCUCUAAAAAAUGGAUAGUUAACUCUGGUGCCUCCGCUCAUAUGGUUAAUACCCUCAAUCUUCUCACAGAUCCUAAAAUCAUUGACAGUAUCAAAUAUGGUAAAGUAUACUUACAAAAAAUAAGUAUAGCCUAUGUGAAACAUGUAGGAUUAGCUUGCAUUCUUCAAGGGCAAAAGAUAACAAAUAUUAUGCACAUUCCUGAAUUCAACUAUAAUUUGAUGUCUGCCUCUAAAUUGACUAAAGAGUUGAGAUGGGUUGUGUUGUUCUAUCUUGAUUUUUGUAUAUUUCAGGAUCUCUUAAGUGGUCAGGUGAAGGGAAUUGGUAAAUAAGAUGACGGACUAUAUGUGAUAACAACUGGAAACAUGAUUGAUAUUCAAGAUGAGACUAAAGGUGUUACAAGAGUCACUCAGGCUUCUGUGAUGAAUAAACAACAAGAUUCCGUAUUGUGGCAUAGAAGACUA
rnacentral:lncRNA from 1 species